GACUCUCGGCAACGGAUAUCUCGGCUCUUGCAUCGAUGAAGAACGUAGCGAAAUGCGAUACUUGGUGUGAAUUGCAGAAUCCCGUGAACCAUCGAGUCUUUGAACGCAAGUUGCGCCCCAAGCCAUUAGGCC
rnacentral:rRNA from 1 species